GCAGAUUCACUCUGCACCUGACUCUAGCUCGGUCUCAUGCCUUUUCUGUCUGCUAGAGAAACAGAAACAGAGGGUGCUGUGGCUACCUCUGCCUAUCAGGGCAGUGCAGCUUCCUGGGGACACAGUG
ensembl:snoRNA small nucleolar RNA SNORA77